UACGUAGGGUGCGAGCGCUGUCCGGAAUUAUUGGGCGUAAAGAGCUUGUAGGCGGUUUGUCGCGUCUGCCGUGAAAAUCCGGGGCUCAACCCCGGACUUGCGGUGGGUACGGGCAGACUAGAGUGUGGUAGGGGAGACUGGAAUUCCUGGUGUAGCGGUGAAAUGCGCAGAUAUCAGGAGGAACACCGAUGGCGAAGGCAGGUCUCUGGGCCACUACUGACGCUGAGAAGCGAAAGCGUGGGGAGCAAACAGG
rnacentral:rRNA from 1 species